AUAAAAGAAAAAUGUCCAAAGAGAGAUUUCUUCAAUAUGAGAUUGAGAACAAAUGGAGAUUUUAGAGUUUAUACACUCUAAAAAAUGCUGGGUUAUUUGUUUAACCCAACAGCUGGGUUGAGCUUGUUGGGUCAUUUUGUUGGGUUAUUUUCUCAGUGUUGGGUCAUUUUUUGAGUAACCCAAACGCUGGGUUACCAGUCUGGUCCAAUUGAGUGACAGUUGAGAGAGUAAACCCCUCCCACUCCUCUACGCAUCAGACAAACUUUACCUUCGCGGGCAUUUUGAUCCACUUCAUCUCGGAAAGCUGUUAUUCGGAGAAUAAAAGGAUGCAGAAUAACAGCUUAUAUUAAUGGAUCAUUCUAUUCAAGGGAAAGUCAACUGGAACUUGGAUGUUUUCAUAACAGGCUUAAAGAUGAACAAAUUGAUAAAGAAACCCUCCUGCUGGACAUCCACUUCCAAAAGUGCACGCCACACUGUUGUCUACAACUCUCAGGAAAAGAAUCCUCUUUAGUAAGACUGCUCCGUGGAUAUUUUAGGUUAAGCAGUGCUGAAACCGAAAGAACUAACGCUCUUUAAAAUGUUUUGUGAGUUUAUAUGAAGAGGAAAGUUACGGUGUCCCUUUUUCACAUCCAUAACGCUUGUUUAUUUCUUUUUUUAUAGAAAACUUGUGCAUAGACUUAUAUUUUAUCAUAUAAAUGCGGUUCUAUCAACAAGGGUUUAGUAAAAUACUUUUUAUAGUGUUUUGAAGUGUUAAGUUGUCUAACUAUUUAUAUUUAUAUACUUGUGCCACUUUAAUAACCUUGUUAAAUGUAUAUGUUAAAAUCUAAACUAAUGUAAUUUAUUGAAGUUAAUUUUCUUUAAAUAUGUAUAAACAUACAUUUCAUCAAAGUGUUUUAUAUGCCAUUUUAUUGUUCAUUGAGCAUAACAUAUUGCAUGUUUUUAUGAAUUCCUUUUGUCUUGCAUUUUGAUCCUUAAUAAAACUAUUGAUUCUUACUGAUGCCUCGAGUAUUUCUCUGUGAUUUUGUUAUUAUUAUUUUUAAACAUUUCGGGUUUGUUUUAAACCAUCAAUGUAAUUUUUAAGCAAAAGUUGAUU